CUCCCUCGUUGCUGACCCCAGGUUCGAUAGUACCAAUUAGGCGCCACCUCGCCAAGAACCAACUUCGAUGAAGCGACGGGCGGUGUGUGCA
rnacentral:rRNA from 1 species